AUAUUAAUCUUUUAAAGGUUUAAAGCUCACAUAAUCUAAUUUCAUGACUCUUAACUAAACUCAAUAAUAUUAUGUUUAAAUUUAAUAUAUUAAUCAUUUAAUUUUUAAGGAAUAAAUGGACAAUUUUAAGUGGGAAAAGAUUGAAGAUAGAAAUUUAUAAAGGAUGCCUAAAGAGAAAGCGCUUAGAAAUAAAGGAGAAUAAUAAUAAUGGAUGGAUAGUUUAGUAUUAAAAUUGAAUAUUAAU
rnacentral:misc_RNA from 1 species